rnacentral:rRNA from 1 species
GCAAGUCGAGGGGUAACAGAGGUAGCUUGCUACUUGCUGACGACCGGCGCACGGGUGCGUAACGCGUAUACAAUCUACCUUGUACUGAGGGAUAGCCCAGAGAAAUUUGGAUUAAUACCUCAUAGUAUUUAGAGACGGCAUCGUUUUUAAAUUAAAGGUUACGGUACAAGAUGAGUAUGCGUCCUAUUAGUUAGUUGGUGUGGUAACGGCACACCAAGACUACGAUAGGUAGGGGCCCUGAGAGGGGGAUC